UACGUAGGGUGCGAGCGUUAAUCGGAAUUACUGGGCGUAAAGCGUGCGCAGGCGGUUCGUUGUGUCGGCGGUGAAAUCCCCGGGCUCAACCUGGGAAUGGCCGUUGAAACUGGCGAACUGGAGUGUGGCAGAGGGGGGUGGAAUUCCGCGUGUAGCAGUGAAAUGCGUAGAUAUCAGGAGGAACACCGGUGGCGAAGGCGGGUCUCUGGGCCGAUACUGACGCUGAGGAGCGAAAGCGUGGGGAGCGAAUGGG
rnacentral:rRNA from 1 species